CUUGUUUACCAGUACUGGUCUGAAUUUUUCCGUGACGUCAUCGGCACCAACUGCCACCGAAAUGAGCGCCGGAGCGGCCUCAAGGGGAAGGGACAGGAGUAGAGGGAUGGAGGAGCAUAAAGUGUUUACAUGAAAGGAGAUAAUAAGGCCUCUCUAAGUCAAGAAGGAAACAAUUCUGCAUCUAUCAAAAAACAGAGAACUACAUUUCAGACAAACAGGGAUAUAGAGAGACAGUCAUCCAAGCUUCAAGGAGCAAUUUGACAAUGCAGAGUCAAGCUGAGGACAGAAACUCUACUGAGAAUUGUAAAAGUUAAAAUUAAAUCUCAAUAAUAAAAAUAUUAUAUUUUAA